GAGAGCGUAUUUCAUAGCGGCGCCUGGUGUUUACCAGGCCUUAUGGCGAAGCCGGUGAGAAUCCGGCACUGUCCCGCAACUGUGAUGCCAGCCCCGCGCUGGCUAAGUCAGGUCGCCCAACGCUGUGGUCCGUGUACU
rfam:Kouleothrix aurantiaca strain COM-B contig_1274, whole genome shotgun sequence.